rnacentral:tRNA from 1 species
GGUUGUAGUUCAGUGGUUGAGCACUUGUUUUGCAUGCGUGAGGCACUGGGUUCAAUCCUCAGCACCA